rnacentral:rRNA from 1 species
AGUGAACGCUGGCGGCAGGCCUAAUACAUGCAAGUCGAACGGCAGCACAGCAGAGCUUGCUCUGUGGGUGGCGAGUGGCGGACGGGUGAGGAAUACAUGGGAAUCUGCCCAGUCGUGGGGGAUAACGUAUGGAAACGUACGCUAAUACCGCAUGCGCCCUACGGGGGAAAGCCGGGGACCGCAAGGCCUGGCGCGAUUGGAUGAGCCCAUGUUCGAUUAGCUAGUUGGCGGGGUAAAGGCCCACCAAGGCGACGAUCGAUAGCUGGUCUGAGAGGAUGAUCAGCCACACUGGAACUGAGACACGGUCCAGACUCCUACGGGAGGCAGCAGUAGGGAAUAUUGGACAAUGGGGGCAACCCUGAUCCAGCCAUGCCGCGUGAGUGAAGAAGGCCCUCGGGUUGUAAAGCUCUUUUGUCCGGAAAGAAAGCAAUCGGUUAAUACCCGGUUGUUCUGACGGUACCGGAAGAAUAAGCACCGGCUAACUUCG